rnacentral:ncRNA from 1 species
UUAAACGCAAUGAGGGAGAAGAGUACUGCGGGGACUCAGUCCCAGCGAGCGGGGGAUGGUGAAAGCCCCGCACAGGAGGCCGCGGGAAGAACGCUCCGGAGCGGAAACCCGAACGCACCGCGCCAGUAGGGGGAACGGGCUGCGACCGUUACAUCGCGCCGACUUGUCAGAGCCGGAAAAGGGGCCGCCGUCCGGCGGCAAAUUAGGUGGCACCGCGGAGCGCAGCAUUCGUCCUAAUC